GAUGAACGCUGGCGGCGUGCCUAAUACAUGCAAGUCGAGCGAACAGACGAGGAGCUUGCUCCUCUGACGUUAGCGGCGGACGGGUGAGUAACACGUGGAUAACCUACCUAUAAGACUGGGAUAACUUCGGGAAACCGGAGCUAAUACCGGAUAAUAUAUUGAACCGCAUGGUUCAAUAGUGAAAGACGGUUUUGCUGUCACUUAUAGAUGGAUCCGCGCCGCAUUAGCUAGUUGGUAAGGUAACGGCUUACCAAGGCAACGAUGCGUAGCCGACCUGAGAGGGUGAUCGGCCACACUGGAACUGAGACACGGUCCAGACUCCUACGGGAGGCAGCAGUAGAGAAUCUUCCGCAAUGGGCGAAAGCUUGACGGAGCAACGCCGCGUGAGUGAUGAAGGUCUUCGGAUCGUAAAACUCUGUUAUUAGGGAAGAACAAAUGUGUAAGUAACUAUGCACGUCUUGACGGUACCUAAUCAGAAAGCCACGGCUAACUACGUG
rnacentral:rRNA from 1 species